rnacentral:rRNA from 1 species
AUUGAACGCUGGCGGCAGGCCUAACACAUGCAAGUCGAACGCGUGGCGGACGUGUGAGUCAUGUCUGGGAAACUGCCCGAUGGCGGGGGAUACCUCCUGGAACCGGUAGCUAAUACCGCAUACCAUCGGAUGUGCCCAGAAGGGCUUAGCCAGUAGGUGGGGUAACGGCUCACCAAGGCGACGAUCCCUAGCGGGUCUGAGAGGAUGACCGGACACACUGGAACUGAGACAGGGUCCAUCCUCCUACGGGAGGCAGCAGUGGGGAAUAUUGCACAAGGGGCGCAAGCCUGAUGCAGCCAUGCCGCGUGUAUGAAGAAGGCCUUCGGGUUGUAAAGUACUUUCAGCGAGGAGGCGUUACUCGCAGAGGAAGCACCGGCUAACUCCGUGCCAGCCGCCGCGGUAAUAC